GCAAAUGAUAGAAAAAUAAUCGUAAUAUAGGCUACUUCGCGGGGAAACAAACGCACUCACUUGCUGUGGGGACAAACAAAAAACAUAACCGCACAUACCGAAUCUUCGGAACAUUUUUUGUUUUGUUUUUACGAUAUUUAGUGCACAAAAUUCAUUAGAAAUGUAAAUAAAUAGUGAAAAUUACGAAAUACUGUGAAAAUAGGUUGUGUCAUUGAGUUUUCGGUGAACUUUGUCAUGUUUUGUUUUUGUUGACGAUUUCGAACCGGAUGUUUGCCAUUUUAA